GCCAACUCAGGUCAGGCGG
rnacentral:rRNA from 2 species